rnacentral:tRNA from 1 species
ACCUUCGUGGUGUAGUGGUCAGUACGCUGGGCGGGUAUUCUAGAGACCCGUGGUUCGAGUCCCGGCGAAGGCG